UACGUAGGGGGCAAGCGUUGUCCGGAUUUAUUGGGCGUAAAGCGCGCGCAGGCGGCCUCGCGCGCCCGACGUGAAAGCCCCCGGCUUAACCGGGGAGAGUCGUUGGGGACGGCGGGGCUUGAGGGCGGGAGAGGUCGGUGGAAUUCCCGGUGUAGUGGUGAAAUGCGUAGAGAUCGGGAGGAACACCUGUGGCGAAGGCGGCCGACUGGGCCGACCCUGACGCUGAGGCGCGAAGGCGUGGGGAGCGAACGGG
rnacentral:rRNA from 1 species